AUUCAGAGAAACCCUGGUAAUAAAAAAAUGGGCAAUCCUGAGCCAACUCCUCCUUUCCAAAAGGAAGAAUAAAAAAGGAUAGGUGCAGAGACUCAAUGGAAGCUGUUCUAACAAAUGGAGUUGAGGAUCUUGCGUUAUUAGUUAUUAUAAGAAUUCUUCCAUCGAAACUCCAAAAAGGAUGAAGAAUAAACCUAUACGCAGACAUACUUAAAUAUAAAUACUAUAUAACUAUAACUAGUUAUUAUAUUUAGUUAUUCUAUUUUAUAUAAUUUUAUAUAAUAAAAAAUAAUAAAUUAAAUAAAGCAUUUAUUUGAAGUCUGAUAGACCUUUUGAAGAUCCAUCGUAUGAGAAUGAAGAUAGAGUCCCAUUCUACGUGUCAAUCUUGACACCACUGAAAUUUAUAGUAAGAAGAAAAUCCGUCGACUUUAUACGUCGUGAGGGUUCAAGUCCCUCUAU
rnacentral:precursor_RNA from 1 species